GCCAGCAUGGCGUAGUGAUUUGAGUGUUAGACUACAACUCUGAAGAUAAGGGUUUGAUUCCCAGCUUGGCC